GAAACUACUGCUUUAUCCUGUAGGCCACAUUGAUUACUAUGACACUUAGUAGGUCGAUUCAGAUUAUAUUAAAAUGUUUAGAGGACGUGGAUUUCCUAUGGAACGAAGCUCGUCGUUUUCUUUGAGAUGAUGGCUACACAUCCAUAUAAGGACUAAAGAUAAUCUUCCACCCGUAAUGCUGGCACUUGGUGAAAAAAUGACAUCUUGAAAGAAAAGUUCAAAACAGGCAGCACUUUAACGAUGAGGUCUUUGCAGACGUGUAUCUCUUUCUGGAAGAGAACAUUGGCUAUCUGAUUUACCCAGAUAUGUACAGUCAUUCAGGCAAUGUCAGCAGAAGUGUCUCAUAGCCGCUGAACCCUGCCGACUGUACCUCUGUUGCAACCUCUGACGAGUGAUGGCCCAGCAGCGGAUUGACAGCGGUUAAAGGUCUGUUGAGAGCUGUGGGCUUCAGCGCUUUUGACGUGGGUUUGAGGAUCUUUUGUAAAAGUGCUACACAAUAAAGACUUGCUGUCUCGCCCUCUCAGCUGUCUCACCUCUCCAAUCGUUUCGCCGCCUGUCGGUCCCACAACUGACAUUUUAAUUCUAAACCACCCCCACCUCUUCUUCCAGUCGUCAGCCCUCGAACUCGUCCAGGCCCUGUGCUGACAGCUGAUGAUAUUGAGUGCUUCACAAAGAAUUGAGUUGAGAAAUGUGUGUGUAUGCAUGCGUUUACACGUGUGUUUUUGUGUAAACAGGUGAAAUUUUAUGAACCAGCUGAAGAGGAAAGUUUGCUUUAAAGCAUACUGAUAUAAAACCCAUGUGGCCUUAAUCCCAAAAGCUGCAUAAAGCCAACCAAUCAGAGAUUCAUGCAUCAGGUGAACAGUGAAUGGCGUGUGGAUGGUCCGUGUAUGUGUAUCACUUUGACUUCAACAGAUACCUGACAUGUCCCCGAGGAACAGAUUAGACGGCGAUCAAAGGUUGAAUACAUUUGUGAAUGAAUGAAUGAUUGCGAUCAAAGACGGGCAGCAGCUUGCAGCGUGACUUUCAGGUGUUAAUGAGCAGAGGAGUGAUGAGAAUCAGUGAAGAGGAAGGACUGGAUGGACGUCAUCUCGUGCACAGACUUCCUGAAGCUGUCAGACAGAAUCUCCUCCACUCUUUCCCAUUGUGUUGAGUGACACGGUGUCUGGACGCUCCGUUUCAGAAUGAUCUUUAUUGGCCUGGAAGAUUCUGUUCAUAUUUUUCUCUGUUCAACUGAGAUUUCUAAUGCUUUUAAGCCUAUCCCAGAGAUCAUAGCAGCGUGGACGUUCCGGGAAACGCUGGGUGGGGGGGCAGCCGCUGGCGAAGCAGAUAAGGGACCGUCUAAAGACGCAGACCCUCCAGAGUAAGAGAUAACAUCCAGACAGUCACAGCAAAGACCUGCCACACAAUACACACCCCCUCCAAAUCUCCCCCCAUCUCGGGCCCUCUCGACCUCCUGUCAUCACCAGCUUUCACGCUCCUGCCGGAGAAAGCCCCCGACUGGUGUACGGUUAUCCUCGGCUCUGUCCGAUUCUCGGAAGGCCAAGUUCACCUUUAGCGAUGAGGAGAUGAUAAGCAUUGAUAGUCGGGAUAGGAAUCGAUCAGCUUCCACUGUUGACAUACCUCCGUGUGUAACCUGUAAUCUCGCGGAGGCAGAAACCUCUCCGAAGGCGUUCCUGGCGGUACACGUGUACACACCUGCAUCACUCGGACCGACUGCUUGGAUCUGGAGCCAGCCGGGAUCAAGCCCAUGACCUCUUCAUUUGUGAUGCAAUGAUCUACCAUUUAAGCUACAGGAAAGUGUUACUUUUGAAGGAGACGCUACGCAGUCCUUUUGAUGAAAAGAAACAAUAUCUCCCUCUUUCCUCCACUGAAUGGAGGCCAGUGGAUACGACGAAACCUCACAGGAAAAGAUGACAUCACUUCCUUUGGGUGUGAUGAUGUCACGAGGAGCGUGAGUGAUAACAGGCUCUGAAGACGAGAAAUUUGAAGGGUCCGUGGUGUACCAUCGUCAACAUCUGACCCUUGCCCUGCUUGCGUUGGGCCGCUCGAAAUUGACAGAUAUUUUUGUACGUCUUCCCGUCUGAUCCGCAAAGCGUUUCCUGCUUGCUGCACACGCAGACUGCUC